rnacentral:lncRNA from 1 species
UGCAGAGAAGAAGUUCUACUUCAGCGAGAUCAGGGCUGGGAAGAAAAGUCCUUUCACAGGCCUUUGUGAGAGAUGUUCCUGCUAGGCUGUAAGAGCACUGUGGAGAGCGAGUUGUUUCUUAGCUUCCCAAAGAGCUGGAAGCAAGACCAUUUGUGGUUUGUCUCCUUUGGUGGCAAUGACUCAGCGCUUUGUGUCUUCCAUAUCUAGAGCAAUGUGGGACAUGGCUCAGAGCUGAAGUUCCAAGACAGUGAGAUCAUGGCUGGAAACAAACUGCAUUUCAGGCCUUUGUAUGAGAGGUUCACGGUAGGCAGUAAGAGCCCUGUGGAAAGCGAGUUCUUUCUCACCAUGCCAAAGAGCUGUAUGUGAGGGUCUGUUGCCUGUCUCCUCUUAAGGAAGUCAGGCAGGCCAUUGUGACUUCCACCUCUAGGGAAAUGUAUUACACAGCAGAGCAGAAGUUCUACUACAGCGAGAUCAGCACCUGGAAGAAACUGUGUUUCACAGGCCUUUGUAAUAGAUUUUCCCAGUAGGGUUUAUAGAACUGUGGACAGCGAAUUUAUUCUUAGCUUCCCAAAGAGCUGGAAGCAAGACUGUUUGUUGCUUCUCUCCUUCGAAGGCAAUGACUCAUAGCAUUGUCACUUCCACCUCUGGAGCAAUGUAGGAUUUGGCUUCAAGUAGAACUUCCAAGGCGGUGAGAACUGGGCUGGAAACAAACUGCAUUUCAGGUCGCUGUAUCAGUAGUUCCCGAAAGGCUGUAAGAGCCCAGGGAAAGCGAGUUCUUCCUCACCUUGUGAAAGAGCUUGAAGCAACAAGGUCUGUGGCCUGUCUCCACUUAAGGAAGCCAGGCAGGGCUUUGUGACAUCCACCUAUAGGCCAAUGUACUACAUGGCAAAGUAGAAGUUCUACUUCAGUGAGAUCAGGGCUGGGAAGAAACUGCGUUUCACAGGCCUUUGUGAGAGAUGUUUUUGGUUGGGUGUAAGAGCACUGUGGAGAGCCUGUUGUUUCUUAGCUUCCCAAAAAGCUGCAAGCAAGACGGUUUGUGGCCUGUCUACUUUGGAGGCAAUGAAUCAGCGCUGUGAGACUUCCACCUCUAGAGCAAUGUGGAACACAGCUUAGAGCAGAUGUUCCAACAGGGUGAGAUCAGGCCUGGAAACAAACUGCGUUUCAGGUCUUUGUAUUAGAGGUUCCCGUUAGGCUGUAACAGCCCAGGGAAAAGUGAGAUCUUUCUCAACUUGCAAAAGAGAUGGAAUCAAGAGAGUCUCUGGCCUGUCUCCUCUUGAGUUUGCCAGGCAGGGCUUUGUGACUUCCACCUCUAGGGCAAUGUAUUACACCGCAGAGCUGAAGGUCUUCUUCAGCGAGAUCAGGGAUGGGAAGAAAGUGAGUUUCACAGGCCUUUGUAAGAGAUGUUCACGGUAGGCUCUAAGAGCACUGUGGAGAGUGAGUUGCUUCUUAGCUUCCAAACCAGCUGGAAGCAAGAUGCUUUCUGGUUUGCCUGCCUUUAGGAAACAAUGCAGGACAUUUUGCCUUGCAACUCUAGGGCAACGUAGGACAUGGCAGAGCAGAAGUUCUACUUCAGCAAGAUCAAGGCUGGGAAGAAACUGCGUUUCACCGAUCUUUGUGAGAGAUGUUCCCAGUAGAUGUAAGAGCACUAUUGAGAGGCAGUUAUUUCUUAGCUUCCUAGCGCUGGAAGCAAGACCGUUUGUGGCUUGUAUUCUUUGGAGGCAAUGACUCAGCACUCUGUGACUUCCACCUCUAGAGCAAUGUAGGACAUGGCAGAGCACAAUUUCUACUUCAGCCAGUUCAGGGAUGGAAAGCAACUGUGUUUCCCUGUCCUUUGUAAGAGAUUUUCCCGGUAGGCUGUAGGAGCACUGUGGAGAGCGAGUUGUUUCUUAGAUUCCCAAAGUGCUGGAAGCAAGACGCUUUGUGGGCUGUCUUCACUUGAAGGAAACGAGGCAGGACUUUGUGCCUUGCACCUAUAGGGCAAUGUAGAUCACGGCAGAGAAGAAGUUCUACUUCAGUGAGAUCAGGGUUGGGAAGAAUCUGCGUUUCACAGAUCUUUCUGAGAGACGUUCCCGGUAGGCUGUAAGAGCACAGUGGAGAGUUAUUUGUUGCUUACCUUCCCAAAGAGCUGGAAAGAAGAGCGUUUGUGGCUUGUCUCCUUUGGCGGCAAUGAUUCACCGCUUUGUGUCUUCCAUCUCUGGAGUAAAGUGGGAUAUGGCUUAGAGCAGAGAUUCCAAGGCAGUGAAAUCAUGGCUGGAAACAAACUGCAUUUCAGGCUUUUGUAUGAGAGGUUCCCAAUAGGCUGUAAGAGCCCUGUGGAAAGCGACUUCUUUCUCACCUUGCCAAACAGCUGGAAGUGAGACGCUCUGUGGCCUGUCUCCUCUUAAGGAAGGCAGGCAGGCCAUUGUGACUUCCACCUCUAGGGAAAUGUAUUACACGGCAGAGCACAAGUUCUACUUCAGCGUGAUCAGGGCUGGGAAGAAACUGCGUUUUCCAGGCCUUUGUAAGAGAUGUUCCUGAAGGCUGUAAGUGCACGGUGGAGAAUGAGUUGUUUAUUAGCUUACCAGAGGUGGAAGCAACACCGUUUGUGGCUUGUCUCCUUUGGAGUCAAUGACUCAGCACUUUGUGUCUUCCAUCUCUAGAGUAAUGUGGGACAUGGCUUAGAGCAGACAUUACAAGGCAGUGAGAUCAUGGCUGGCAACAAACUGCAUUUCAGGCCUUUGUAUGAGAGGUUCCCGGUAGGCUAUAAAAGCCCUGUGGAAAGCAACUUCUUUCUCAACUUGGCAAAGAGCUGGAUGCAAGGGAGUCUGUGGUCUGUCUCCUCUUGAAUUUUCCAUACAGGGCUUGUUGAAUUGCACCUCUAGGACAAUGUAUUACAUGGCAGAACAGAAGUUCUACUUCAACGUGAUCAGGUCUGGGAUGAAAGUGCAUUUCACAGGCCUUUGUAAGAGCUGUUCCCGGUAGGCUGUAAGAGCACUGUGGAGAGCAAGUUGUUUCUUAGCUGCCCAAAGAGCUGGAAGCAAGACCGUUUGUGGCUUGUCUCCUUGGAGGCAAUGACUCAGCGUUUUGUCUCUUCCACCUCUAGAGCAAUGUAGAACAUGGCUUAGAGCAGAUGUUCCAAGGCGGGGAGAUCAGGGCUGGAAACAAACUACGUUUCAGGUCUUUGUAUGAGAGGUCCCCAGUAGGCUGUAGGAGUCCAGGGGAAAGCGAGUUCUUUCUCAGCUUGUGAAACAGCUGGAAGCUAGACAGUCUGUGACCUGUCUCCCUUUGAAGAAACAAGGCAGGACUUUGUCCUGUGCACAUCGAAGGCAAUGUAGCACACGACACAGUAGAAGUUCUACUUCAGCGUGAUCAGGAUUGGAAAGAAACUGCGUUUCACAGGCCUUUGUACGGGAUGUUCCCGGUAGGCUGCAAG